GACGAAAAAAAUGUGGUUUCGUUUGUUUUUUCGACCCGCAUUUUAGGAGUUCAAAAGUUUUUUUUAUGUAUUUAUUCUCUUCUAUACAUUUAAUUCCUUAUUAUUAUUUUUGUGUGAGUUGUGCAGAAUUCUUGUAGGUUGAUGCUCAUAUUUAUUUGUGGAAAUGAAAUGCAAGAAUUGUGAUAUCAGACGUUGAUGGGACAAUUACAAAGCCGAAUGUUCUUGUCAGGUCAUGCCCUUGGUAGGAAUUGGUAUCCGGGGUACCUCAACUUUUCUUUGCUAUAAAGGUAUGUGUUCUCGUACAUAAUUUUCGGUUUUUAUAUAUGUUAUAGCAUGUAAUAGUUCCGCCGAACGCCCGGGUUCCCACUAUUUCAAAUAGUUUAGCUGUUUUACGAAAUCAGUAUUAAAAAGAUUACAUAAAAUCGACCAUGCAACGUGUGCCAAAAAAAACAUAAUUACCCGCGGCAACGCGCAGGCAUUCCCACUAUAUAAUAUAAUGUAAAUUUUUGGCCGCUAAAAACGGCUCGAUAGAUAGAAUAUGCUGGGAGAAAAGAAGAUCGAUGGGUUGGGCUGGGCUUGAUUUUUAGGUCAGGGGGAUAUUUAAACCAUGUCCUUAUCCUCAAAUCGGAACAAUCAUUCUCAAAUCUCAUUGUCGAUGAAUAAGCAUUCCAGCUUCUGCCGAUUAAUUAGACCCAUGGUACCUUCAACUUUUAUGGUGAGCUGUUAUAUAUUCAUCUAUCUUCUGGAUUAAACAAUACUUAUCUUUAUUUUUGCACACCACUUGUUUGAUUUUGUAUCUUUCUUCAUCUUCAUAUUUUAUUACAAAAGAUGAAUAUAGUGACAUACAUGAAGAGUUUACAGUAACCGUGGGUAUGAUUUUAACGCAGCCAUUAUUUCUAACAAGAUGUUUGCACUACAAGAUAAAAGAGAAGCACAAGAGAAGGGUACAAGUAUCGGUAUCUAUAAGUAGAAAAUAGAAAAUGGAGCAGAUAAUCGACAACGUAUGUGUUUUGGUCGAAACUGGGAUACAGAAACAAGGUAUAACAACAUUUACACAAGGGAUGGUUCUGAACCACCCCCGAUUCCAUAUGAGCUUACCUCAUUGGCUGAAACCGCAAUUCAAGAUGCUCAAGCCCAUCUGGACGAUGAUGAACUUCCUUCCAUGUGCCCCCCGAAUACCUGUUCUGUCAGUUUCUAUCCGAUCGAUGGUUGACUUGGCCUUCAUCAGUGGAUUGGACUAAGAUGGCAUUGGGUUCAGGUGUUAGAUGUCCAGCUUGAUGGAGGUGUAAGUAUGGGCUCCAGAAUGUGAUGCAUCAUUGCAUUGGGCUAGAGAUGGAUCACCUUGUAUAUGGCAUGGGCCGAUUGAUUCUUAAAACUCUAAUAUGCA